GUCCGGGAAAGGCGCCCGGCCCCAAGUUUUUAAGGGAGUCGCUCGGGCUAGGAGGGACCUCGCAGUCUGGGCACGUAGGAGCCGGUGGCGGACGAUCUAACACGCUGUCCCCCACGCGCCGAGCUGGGGCUGGGCAGAGGCGCGGAAGAAGCGCCGCGGACCCUCGCCCCCUUCCAGUCCAGCCAAGAGGGACCCCCUGGCCAGCGUAACGCAAAGCGAGCCCGGCUUUGAACUUUUUCCCCCUCCUGAGGGGCGGAAGGCAGGAGGAGGGGUUGUGGGUGACUUGGUGGGAAAAGUCUAAGCCUCAGGGCUUCGGGGAAGGACGAGGCAGAGCGAAGUCACCACUCGCGUGAGGCUUCCGGGCGCUGACACUGCGCGUGGAAGGAGGGGGGAGGGGCGGCGGAGGAGGGGUGCGUUCCUGGCACCGGGGUAAGAGCCAGCGUCAGCGUGAGGUUACCUUGGAGGUGUCCAGCAUCCAGAAAGAAUGAACCCGGGCGGUCUGGCGCCCGGGGCAAAGGUUCCAGGGUGUCCGCCUCUCGUUGACUUGUGCGCUCUAUUAGGCAGCAUCUGGUGGAACACAGAAUCCCAAACUUCCCGAAGAUAUAUCCUAAUAAAAUCCUAAUCUGUUUUUUGGUCAUUUAUAAGGCAUAUUUAGAGCUUAAAAAAAAAUGAUUAGCCUUUGCAAAAGGAUUUUCUCUAAGAAUACAUGCCCUUCUUUCCAAAGAUUCUUCUUAUGUAUUGAAAGUGUUCUUAUGCAUAAUACCAUUAUAAUAGAUUUUUUUUUCCAGGUUAAGAACAGGGCAGUGUCGCUUUGCUGCAAGUCAGUCUCUGUAUUUGGCAGUUCAUUUUAUGGUUAAUGACUAGAAAGAGAAGAGUUCCAGAGAAGCUGAUAACCAUCUGUUUCUUGCUGUGGGUGCUGGUUACAAGGUUACCCGCAGUCAACCGCUGUCCAAAGCAGAUGAUCCUCCUGACAGAGCAUCAGAAGGUCACUAGGAGCCUAGCACCAGGUCACAAUGCCGACGUCACUCACCUCACUUCUUCUCAUCCUGUAGGCAUUUUAUCUUCUCACAUCAUCACAAGAAGGGUGAGUAUAGUACAUUAAGACAUUUUGAAAGAUGGAGAGACCACAUUCACACAGCUUUGCUUUUACUACAGUAUAUCGUUAUAAUUGUCCUAUUUUAUUUUUAGUUAUUGUUGCUCUCUUACUGUGCUGAAUUUA